AUUGAACGCUGGCGGCAGGCCUAACACAUGCAAGUCGAAUGGUAACAGGAAACUGCUUGCUGUUUCGCUGACGAGUGGCGGACGGGUGAGUAAUGUCUGGGAAACUGCCUGAUGGAGGGGGAUAACUACUGGAAACGGUAGCUAAUACCGCAUAACGUCGCAAGACCAAAGAGGGGGACCUUCGGGCCUCUUGCCAUCAGAUGUGCCCAGAUGGGAUUAGCUAGUAGGUGGGGUAACGGAUCACCUAGGCGACGAUCCCUAGCUGGUCUGAGAGGAUGACCAGCCACACUGGAACUGAGACGCGGUCCAGACUCCUACAGGAGGCAGCAGUGGGGAAUAUUGCACAAUGGGCGCAAGCCUGAUGCAGCCAUGCCGCGUGUAUGAAGAAGGCCUUCGGGUUGUAAAGUACUUUCAGCGGGGAGGAAGGGAGUAAAGUUAAUACCUUUGCUCAUUGACGUUACCCGCAGAAGAAGCACCGGCUAACUCCGUG
rnacentral:rRNA from 1 species